rnacentral:rRNA from 1 species
UACGGGGGGGGGCAAGCGUUGUUCGGAAUUACUGGGCGUAAAGGGCUCGUAGGCGGCCAACUAAGUCAGACGUGAAAUCCCUCGGCUUAACCGGGGAACUGCGUCUGAUACUGGAUGGCUUGAGAUUGGGAGAGGGAUGCGGAAUUCCAGGUGUAGCGGUGAAAUGCGUAGAUAUCGUAAGGAAGACCAGUGGCGAAGGCGGGUCUCUGGACAGUUCCUGACGCUGAGGCACGAAGGCCAGGGGAGCAAACGGG